rnacentral:rRNA from 1 species
CAGUAGCCACGGUAAGACAGAGGUCCCGAGCGUUGUUCGGAUUCAUUGGGCGUAAAGGGUGUGUAGGAGGCCAGGUAAGUCAGGUGUGAAAUCUCAGAGCUUAACUCUGAAACUGCGCUUGAUACUGCUUGGCUAGAGGAUCGGAGGGGGUAACGGAAUUUAUGGUGUAGCAGUGAAAUGCGUAGAUAUCAUAAGGAACACCGGUGGCGAAGGCGGUUACCUGGAAGAUUCCUGACUCUGAAACACGAAAGCCAGGGGAGCAAACGGGAUUAGAUACCCCCGUAGUCCCUGUCUCUUAUAC